CCUACGGGUGGCUGCAGUGGGGAAUAUUGCACAAUGGGCGCAAGCCUGAUGCAGCCAUGCCGCGUGUGUGAAGAAGGCCUUCGGGUUGUAAAGCACUUUCAGCGGGGAGGAAGGCGGUGAGGUUAAUAACCUCAUCGAUUGACGUUACCCGCAGAAGAAGCACCGGCUAACUCCGUGCCAGCAGCCGCGGUAAUACGGAGGGUGCAAGCGUUAAUCGGAAUUACUGGGCGUAAAGCGCACGCAGGCGGUCUGUCAAGUCGGAUGUGAAAUCCCCGGGCUCAACCUGGGAACUGCAUUCGAAACUGGCAGGCUAGAGUCUUGUAGAGGGGGGUAGAAUUCCAGGUGUAGCGGUGAAAUGCGUAGAGAUCUGGAGGACUACCGGUGGCGAAGGCGGCCCCCUGGACAAAGACUGACGCUCAGGUGCGAAAGCGUGGGGAGCAAACGGGAUUAGAUACCCGUGUAGUC
rnacentral:rRNA from 1 species